rnacentral:rRNA from 1 species
GAUUAGUGGCGAACGGGUGAGUAACACGUGAGUAACCUGCCCUUAACUCUGGGAUAAGCCUGGGAAACUGGGUCUAAUACCGGAUAGGAGCGUCCACCGCAUGGUGGGUGUUGGAAAGAUUUAUCGGUUUUGGAUGGACUCGCGGCCUAUCAGCUUGUUGGUGAGGUAAUGGCUCACCAAGGCGACGACGGGUAGCCGGCCUGAGAGGGUGACCGGCCACACUGGGACUGAGACACGGCCCAGACUCCUACGGGAGGCAGCAGUGGGGAAUAUUGCACAAUGGGCGAAAGCCUGAUGCAGCGACGCCGCGUGAGGGAUGACGGCCUUCGGGUUGUAAACCUCUUUCAGUAGGGAAGAAGCGAAAGUGACGGUACCUACAGAAGAAGCACCGGCUAACUACGUGCCAGCAGCCGCGGUAAUACGUAGGGUGCGAGCGUUA